rnacentral:rRNA from 1 species
UACGUAGGUGGCAAGCGUUGUCCGGAUUUAUUGGGUUUAAAGGGUGCGUAGGCGGCUUUGUAAGUCAGUGGUGAAAUACGGUAGCUUAACUAUCGAGGUGCCAUUGAUACUGCAGAGCUUGAGUACAGAUGAGGUAGGCGGAAUUGACGGUGUAGCGGUGAAAUGCGCAGAUAUCAGGAGGAACACCGGUGGCGAAGGCGGGUCUCUGGGCAACAACUGACGCUGAGGAGCGAAAAGCGUGGGGGAGCGAACAGG